CGUCGGUGUACUCGGCCUCCGAAGGCGGCUUGGCCCGCAGCGUCAGCAGGCCCUCUGAGGGGUGCAGACGGGCGCGGCGACGGGGACGCGGGGCCAGCACCAGGCAGGCAGAGAGAGAGGUGGACACCCGGUUAAGAUGGCGGUGAGGCUGGUGUUGUAGACUGAGGCACAAGGAGGUGAAACCGGCUUCCCAGAGACCCUGCCAACUUCUUCCCUCUCACCUGAGCGCCGCCGCCCUGCGCUCCCCGCGGCCCGAGCGGUAAUUGUGCAGAGCCCCCUGGAUGUCCUCUCGGAUCAGCUCCGCCUGCCAAUCACACCGUCAGGCCACGCCGCACCCACUUCCUACCCGGUCCUCGCCCCUGGCCGAUUUUUCAGCUCAGUCCCAGCCCACGUGCGGCCACCGUUCACGCCUGUGAACCCACGCACGUCCACGCCCUGGACUCACCCCUCGCCCUACACCGGUCCCUGCCCUAAGCCACGACCCCGCCCAUGGAGACCCAGUCCGGGUGGUUCCUCGCCCCCAUCCUCGUCCUGGCUGCUCCCCCAGACCCUUCUUGGCCAUGUUCUGUCCAUGUCCUCAUCCCACCUUCACGUUCUGUCUUGACCCUGGGUCCAAUCUCAAACCCCACUGCCUUCCAGAACUUCCUUCCCAGGUCCCCUGCCCUUCCUUGCUCUGAUCCCGCCUUAGUCCCAGGCCCCGCCCCACCUAGAGGCCCCACCCAUGUCCGCCCCGGCUCCAGGCUCCGCCCAGUUCCAGCUCCACCCCCAGAGCCAGCCUGUCCGCUCACCCCGAGGCGCAGGCCCUGGAAGAAGUGCACGUCUGGCUGCGCGCGCUCGGGUUCCUGGCACACGAGCAGCAGCAACGAGCGGCUCCUGCCGGGUGGCAUCACGGCGUCACAGCGCACGAUGGCGCCCAGUGGGUACGACUCCAGCUCCUCCUGCCGGGUGGGAUGGCGGGGUAAACUGAGGCCCCGAAAUGAUGGUACUACUAAAUGGCGACGGGAGUGUGAGCCAGCAGGCCAGGGCAACCUCAUGCGGUUAGGGGGUUAGGGAUAACACCCCUGUUUAAUAGGUAAGGCUAUUAAGGCUCAAGAAGGAGGCUGGGGUUCCCAGAGGAAGGACGUGCAGGAGCCAAGAUUCACACCCAGACCCCCUGAAGUCCCUGCCCCAGACACUCCUCCCACCCACGUGCCCCCUGGCACCUUGGAGGCCGGGUCGAGCAGCGUGACAUGGUCGGGAGACACUCGCAGCAGCAUCUCCUGUGCCCAGACUCGGCCCUGGCUAUCCAUGACGGCCAGCUUCCUGGAGGCAUCCUCCACGGUGUGCACGCCAUCGUCCUCACCCAGGCAGAACGUCACCAGGUGCUGGUACGGACCACGGAGAAAGCAGUGAGGCCCAAGAUGAUGCCAGGUGGGCUCAGAAUCCCCCGGAAUAAUCAGACUUUCAGCCUGAGACUAACCACACCUCCUCCAGGAAGCCUUCCUUGAUCACCUGUUCCACAAAUCAGCUCCUCCUCCCAGUGCCCUCUGUUUCCCUUUCAUCAGAGUGACUAGCACCUGAGUCUGGCUUCUCACAUACUGGAGGCUCCUUGCCGGCAGGGAAGGAGUCUGGAUUAUAGCUCUCUCCUUCUAAAUGCCUCCUCGGGUCUCCCGCUGUGCCCCCUGCCACCUCCAUUAGAGCACCAGGCACCUCCGUGUGUUCCUCUGGACCUUGUCUACCCCCUCCUCAUGCAGGGCUGUGUCUUGAUUUGUCUCCAUGGUCCCACUGUCCAGCACAACAGCUGGCCGGGAGGAAAGGCUGGCAGAUUUGAGAGGACCCGAGGCCCCUGACUUCAUAUCCAUGACUGAGGUGAGGCAACGGAGGUCCAUUUUAUGGAUGGGCAAACUGACUUUCCACAUGCUUCCUGCUUGGGGGCCCAGCUGCUUUCAAAAGCCCUAUCUCCUGAGGCCACCUUUGCCCCAGAAGAUGUCCUGGGGGAACACAGAUCCCAGACUCACAUUGACUGGGUACUGGGAUACAUCAGCCAUAACAACUGUGGAGUAACGCUUCCUCUGCUCUGCGAGGGGAGAAAGAGAAUGAGCCUGGGAGUCCAGGCCCAGCCCCUCCUCCAUCAGACUCAGGAGUCCAGGCCCCCAGCCCCUUCUCCCUCAGACCUAGGAGUCCAGCCCCCCAGCCCCUCUUCCCUCUGACCCAGGAGUCCAGACCUCCAGCCCUUCCUCCUCCCUCAGACCCAGGAGUCCAGGCCCCCAGCCCCUCCUCCCUCAGACCCAGGAGUCCAGGCCCCCAGCCCCUCCUCCCUCGGACCCAGGAGUCCAGGCCCCAGCCCCUCCUCCUCCAAGACCCUGGAUGCCAGGUCCUGUUUCUUUAGACCCAGUUCUAUGGGCCUGGGGCUCCCUUGACCCCACUCACCAUAGAUAGACUUGGCGCUUGGCUUCGGGGCAGCUUCUGGGCUGGUGAAGAAAAGAGGAAUGAGAGAGACUGUGGAAUUGGGGGCAGAUCCUAUGGAAAUGCCAAGCAGGGCAGCAAGGGAUCAUUACAAAGGUUACCUUUCCUAAGAAUUCUUGAAUCCCCACUCGCCGGCACAUAACAGAAGCUCAGCGAUCAGGUGGCGUCAGGGGAACUGAAAAAGCCUUUUUCCCAAACUCCUGUUCCUCAUCCCACUCCUGCCAGUCUGAUGUCACCACAAUUUGAUUACCUCUGGGCCAGAGAGCUCACUACCUACCAUGCAGGUAUUUUGACUCAUCUCUCA